CGGGAUGUGGCUCAGCUUGGUAGAGCGCUGCGUUCGGGACGCAGAAGUCGCAGGUUCAAAUCCUGUCAUCCCGACCA
rnacentral:tRNA from 1 species